AUUGAACGCUGGCGGCAGGCCUAACACAUGCAAGUCGAACGAGCGGCGGACGGGUGAGUAAUGUCUGGGAAACUGCCUGAUGGAGGGGGAUAACUACUGGAAACGGUAGCUAAUACCGCAUACCAUCGGAUGUGCCCAUAUGGGAUUAGCUAGUAGGUGGGGUAAAGGCUCACCUAGGCGACGAUCCCUAGCUGGUCUGAGAGGGUGACCAGCCACACUGGGACGGAGACACGGUCCAGACUCCUACGGGAGGCAGCAGUGGGGAAUAUUGCACAAUGGGGGCAAGCCUGAUACAGCCAUGCCGCGUGUAUGAAGAAGGCCUUAGGGUUGUAAAGUACUUUCAGCGGGGAGGCGUUACCCGCAGAAGAAGCACCGGCUAACUCCGUGCCAGCAGCCGCGGUAAUUC
rnacentral:rRNA from 1 species